CAGUAGUCCACGAGUCGUCGACUCCGAAGUAGGGAUUUAAUUGUUUGGAGUUGUUGUGUGGGGAUGUGGGAGGUGCCCGAUGAGUUGUCCCAUGAUGGGUCGAGAGUUAUGUUGAAGUCGCCCCCCAGUAUGAGAGUCCCUUCUGCGAAUUCUUGGAGUUUGCGAAGUGUCUGUUUGAGGAAGCGGUAGUGUUGUGUGUUUGGGGCGUAAAUGUUUGCGAAUGUGUACUGGGGUCCUGCGAUCUUCCCUUUAAGGAAUAAGUAUCUUCCUUCGUCGUCUGUUUUGUAUCCCCCCUCCUGGAACGGCACCCUCUUGUGGAGAAGUAUUGCUGUCCCCCUAGCCUUACCCCCUUGGAAGUCACUGUAGUAUCCUUGUGUGUAGUGCUGAUUAGUCAAUUUGGGUCUGGUCCCUUUUUUGAAGUGGGUUUCCUGUAUCAUUACUAUAGAGGCCCUCUGUUUGUGGAAGUCUCUCAAUGCUCCUGAUCUCUUCUCUGGUUUAUUUAGGCCUUUUGCAUUGAUUGUAAGGAUGUGUAAGUGGUCUGGGGUCAGUGUCAUCCCGUCAAGUCAGGUUGUUGUCGACGGGUGUUGUGAAAAUGUCUUUGUCUUAUGUUCCUUUGGUGUGUGUAGUCUCAGGAGGUCUCACAGUCAGCUGUCGGUGUCGGGUUGGGGAGUCAAGUGUUGGGGUUUAGGUAAGGAUUAAGGGGUUGAGGUAUUGGAGUAGUCUGGGAGGUACCCAGAGAUCUCCGUGGUUUGCGUCACAGUGCGUGACGACUAGGUAGCCUGUGGUGUCCGUGUGAUGCUCACCUUUCGGGUGACGCCUCGCCUGCUGGGCAGUGGUUGGGCGUCCAGGCGCCUGGCGCAGUGUCCUAGUGGUGUGUCUCGUCUCGUGGUUUCCCUAUGUGGCUCCUUAGUGAUUACUCCAUAGGAGUACGCGUGUUAUUCCCCGCCUCGGGGUGUGGUGGUUCUGGGGCUUGCGUGGAUGAUUGUUUAUGCACGUGGUCUGUUUGUUUGUGGUUGGGUUGCGAGACAUUAACAGUGUUAUUAACAUUUCGGUUUCAAGUCACAACAGGUGAAAACAUAACAAAAUUCUAACAUUUCUUGUUUCAAUUUCGUGCACCGUUUACCUCUGCCCCCCUGCGUCCCAGGUUCCCACCCGCCCGCCUAUCUGGUGUGUUCUUGUGUCCCUUGUGUCUUUGCGUCCUGUUCACUAUUUUUAUCGUGAAGUGUGGGUGUCCCUGUCGGGGGUGAGAGAUAGAAGGUUGUUCCCGUAGGCGUGGGUCUAGCUGGUGUAUUCUUUGUCCCCCUGUCUCUGUGGCCUUAUGGGGUGCGCCCGUCGUAGGGUUCCUUGGUGUGUUGUGCUUCCUCCCCCUGUUCUAGAGGUGUGUGACUAUUCGGCGGGUGGUUAUAGUUUGGUCAUCUUGGUUUUGUCGCUUCCCAUUUAUCCCGGGUGCGGGGUCGGCACCCCCACCCCGGGUGUGCCCCGCCGGCGGAGCCCCCCGCCUGCUCCCCGAGGUUCAUUACAGCGCGGCUAGGCUGCGGCCGGGGGGGGCGAGCGCCCCACUCCCGAUCCCUCUUACUGUAGUGUUGGUACUAAGAGUUUGGGUCCCUGAUACUCCCCCCCCACCUCUAGUGUGAGUGCGUUUAGUCCAUGGGUAGCCCGGCAGGCCUGAGGGUUCUGCAUGGUCAAGCAUCUGCGCCGAUCUUGCCGCUUGGGUCUCAAGGUUCGGUGUAUCACUUUAUGUCUCUUAACCUGUAUGUCCGUGUAGGGUCUUAUUGAGUGUGUUGCCCCUUGGGCUAUAUACUUGCAGUUUUGAGAGUUUCGGCGCUGUUAGUUCUAGGGGUUCUGGUCAGGGACGAACAGUGUCUAUCCAGUUCAUUGCCGGGCCAUGUGGGUUCCUGGGAGGGUGGACAGGUAGUGCGCGGCCUUCUACAUGUUGGUGCCCGUAGGGCGCGUCGUCUGUUGUCUCGUUCUUCUGGGUCUGGGGGUUUGUUGCGGCUGGCGUUGUACCUCCAGUGAGAAGACGUAGAAGGCCGUUGGAUCUGGCCAAGUCAUAUGUAUCGUUGGGAGUUGUAGUUCUCUCGUUAGGUCCAUCAGGUCUCCCUCGCUCUUCACUGUGAAGGGGCCAUUACUUGUGGUGACUUGUAGUCCGGUGGGGAAAUUCCACCUGUAUCUGAUCUUAUUAGUCUGCAAUGUCCGCGUGAGUGGGCGCAGGACUCGUCGGUACGCCAGCGUUGCAGGGGAUAGGUCUGGAUACAGUUGGAUCUCAGCGUCAUUGUGGAUGAUUUGGCUCUGAACCCUGUCACUUUUCAGGAUAUCCUCCUUCACUUGGAAGUGUGUUAGACAGCAUAUUACGUCUCUAGGAGGGGAGUCAGGUGGGCCCCUGGGUCUGAGGGCUCUGUGCGCCCUUACAAAUUCGAUGGGCGCUGUGUUCGGCCUUUGCAGGAGGGCAUUAAAAAUUUCCGUGAGCGUGUUCCGUAUUGGGGUAGUCUGGUCACAUUCUUCUGGUAGCCCCCGGACUCUGAUGUUUUGACGUCUCCCUCGGUUGUCUAGGUCCUCUAAAUGGAGGGCCAUUUGACGCAAUUGUGUUUCUUGCCGCUUUAUGGUACUCGUGGUGGCAUUCUGCGCCGACAUUACGUGGUCGCAAUCUGCCUCCACCUGGGUCAGUUUGUGGUGAAUCCCUUGCAUGUCUUCCCUCAGGGCCUGGAGCUCCCCAGUGAUAGAUUUAUGGAGGGCGGCAUUAGCCUCCUUCAGGUCAUUUUUUGUGGGUAGGUUAUUUAUCAGCGUUACCCAGUCCAGCUGGGGUAAGGGGUUGUCAGGAGGAUUUUGUACCUGGUCGUGGUGUCCGUCUCUGGGUGAGGUCGGGCGGCCUGGGCCCAGGGAUGCAGUGUCACCGGAGGCCUGGGAAGCUUGGUCGGCCUGGGUUGUGAGGUACUGGCGCAUGCCGGCUGAUUGUGACCCUCUCGGUGUGUUGGCGACCGGUGCAGCCUGUUGGGGCUUGUUAGUUUUGCCCAUUAUUGCGGUAGUGGAGCUGGUUAGGCGGGUUUGUGAGCGGAGCCGGUCGGGAGCUCGUG
rnacentral:lncRNA from 1 species